rnacentral:rRNA from 1 species
UUCCAGACUCCUACGGGAGGCAGCAGUGGGGAAUAUUGCACAAUGGGGGAAACCCUGAUGCAGCGACGCCGCGUGAGUGAAGAAGUAUUUCGGUAUGUAAAGCUCUAUCAGCAGGGAAGAUAAUGACGGUACCUGAGUAAGAAGCCCCGGCUAACUACGUGCCAGCAGCCGCGGUAAUACGUAGGGGGCAAGCGUUAUCCGGAUUUACUGGGUGUAAAGGGAGCGUAGACGGCAUGGCAAGUCUGAAGUGAAAGCCCGGGGCUCAACCGCGGGACUGCUUUGGAAACUGUUAAGCUGGAGUGCAGGAGAGGUAAGUGGAAUUCCUAGUGUAGCGGUGAAAUGCGUAGAUAUUAGGAGGAACACCAGUGGCGAAGGCGGCUUACUGGACUGUAACUGACGUUGAGGCUCGAAAGCGUGGGGAGCAAACAGGAUUAGAUACCCGGGUA